rnacentral:lncRNA from 1 species
ACCUGAGGCGGCGGCGGGGCCGGGUGCGGGCGCUCCGGGACGCGGGGCCGGGCGGACACACUGGCGGGGCCGGGGCCUGGCCGUCCCACCGCCGUCUGCCCCCCGCGCCGGGGCCGGGCCCAGACGCACUUCCUCAAUCCUGAGGCGGGCGGGCGGGGAGGGCGGCGCGAAGAGCGCGCAGAGCAAGGCCGCCGCCAGCUCUCCCAGGAACCGUCGCGAGGCGUCCCCUCGGCGGCCGCCUCAGUUUCCCUGGCCGUAAAACGCGGGCGAUGGCGCUCGAUGCCCCGGGAGACGCCGGGGUCCGCGGGCCCUUCCGGCACCGGGUCCUCCUUCAGGUUCGGGCACCCGGCUGCCUCCACGCGGGGCGAGCGCGGCGAUGGGAUCGGUCCGUGCUGCGCUCAGCCCCGCUUUCGCUAUCCCUCUGCUCCAGGGGCAGCAAAAUCAGCAGAUGAGCCCCCAGCGCGCCUGCGGCCCACACACUGCGGCCGUAACAGUUAAACAGACGGGGAACAUUCAUGUGCGUAGAGCUCUUCACGGGGCGAUACAGAAAUGUGUCGUUCUAAAGCGUUAACGACCUGCAAUUUGCAUAUCCUCCAACACAUGGAUUUUACUGAUUCAAUUAUGGAUGUGUGCAAAGAAUCUGCUGCUCGCACCCUGUGAGGAGGGUUACCUCUGUGGAGCCGGUGAAGGCGAUCUUGUUGAUCUGAGGGUGAGAAGAAAUUGCUGCUCCCACUGUGGGCCCGAAUCCUGGCACAAUGUUCACCACUCCUGGAGGGAACCCGGCCUGGGAAGAAAUCAAGAUAGCACUUGAAGAAGAACGGACUUCAUCCACCACGGAUCCACAUUUGGGCCGAGAGAGCCGUGGCUGCCUCACAUCCCCACAGGGAACCCGGGCCGGGCUGGAUUUACCCAGGACCCAGAAGCAGUUGACCGUGGGCACCCUGGGAGCUGACCUGGGCUUCUCAUCCCCUGCUGCCAGCCCAGUGUGCAGGCUGGGCAAGGGGAGAUGCCCACUUCUCCUUCUGGGGGGGGACCCCAUCCCAAAGUGAUAUGCAGUGCAAAUGUGUGGUUAUGCUUCAAGGUGGCCAUGGCCCGCCUGUAGCACAGCACCUUUCCAUGUGGGGUGUGUGUGUGUGUGAGGGAGAGUGUGUGUAUGCGUUAAGGGGAGAGGGGUACCUUGAUCAGAAUGCCCUGCCCAGGAUCAGAGGCACCUGCAAAAUAUCUGCCAAGAGCUUCAGUUUUGUUUUUUCUUCUUUUUUUUUUUUUUGAGAUGGAGUCUUGCUCUGUCGCCCUGGCUAGAGUGUAGUGGCGCGAUCUUGGCUCACUGUAAGCUCCGCCUCCCAGGUUCACGCCAUUCUCCUGUCUCAGCCUCCUGAGUAGCUGGGACUACAGGUGCCCGCCACCACGCCUGGCUAAUUUUUUUUUUUUUAAGUAGAGAUGGGGUUUCACUGUGUUAGCCAGGAUGGUCUCGAUCUCCUGACCUCGUGAUCCACCCACCUCGGCUUCCCAAAGUCCUGGGAUUACAGGCGUGAGCCCAGUUUUCAUUUUUUAAUCAGACCCGUUAUUAUUCCAAAUGGUGACAGGGUAUCACUCCCUUAAAGUUCUUUGCUUGUUCAACCUGGGUCUCACCUGGAGCAAGCCCUUCUGGAAGGCAGGGACUGCCACCUCGUUCACGUUCAUGCCUCGUGUUUUUCAUAUACUAAGCCUCUUUAUCAGGCGAGAACACAAAACAAACGAGGUGGAGGAUGCUCUUCCCCACCUGUGCUGAGUCUUACUUAGAACACAUUAUUUCAGAAAAUCAAGAUUUUAGGCACGCUGCUUGAGUCUUUAGAUUUUUAGGCACUGUUUCUUAACAGUUGGGAUUUUCACAUUCCUAAGUCUCACCAGUGUGACUUAAUUAUGCCCCACAUCACCAAAGGAAAGUGGAAAAUUGGCUCAUCACCAGCUGUUCCCACCUUGCUUCUAAGCAACUGUGGACCUGCCUGCCGGUCAUAUCAGCCCGACUAAGAAGAGAAAGGAAUGGAUCUUUUCUUCUGUCCCUCUUUGCUUCCUGUUGCUUUCUCUAAAUCUUUGCUCCAUACAACCUGGGGAUGGAAUGACUAAAGGUAUGUCUGGAAGGAGGUGUCCCAUUGAGCCUCUGUUUCCCUAAGUUCUGGCUGCCUGAGGGAGAAGAGAUUGCAUUCAGAGCAGAGGGCACUGAUUAGCAGGGACCCGGCACACGGACUGCUGCAGCCGCCCAGCUAGAGCUGACGAGGCCACCUCUCCAGAGAAAAAUGGACCAUUUCAUAAACUGAGAAUGCAAAUCCCAGAGAACCUCCCAAAUAUUUGGCUCCCUCUUGGUUGACCCCCCCUGAAAAUUCUCUAGACAAACCACUGGGUCCUCAACCAUAGGUUUGAGCCCAUAAUAAGAGUUAAGCAUUCUCAUUAGGACCACUGGGAGGAAUGGAGUUUCUCCAGCUCAGUGGCCACAAGCAGGAGAAAGAACGUGCAGUCGCCAAACAAAACACUGGAAGUCAUUCCCUUCCCACUCGAUUGCCAGCAGUCUGCCACUGUCCCAUCUCGUGACGGUGGCCUGGUUCCUAGGAGUGGGAAUGUUACCAAGAACAUGUGAUAUUUUCUUUUUGGAUGUCUCACCUCUUUGAUCAGAGAGCCGAGAUAAAGGGCGGUGAGAGGUGUCUGCUCCGCAGGCUUCAGGACCAUGGUGUUCCCACAGCAGAGGGCGGGUGCCAGCUUCCACACCAGCAUCAGCAGGGGGAAGUUCCACUGCGACAGAGCACAGGGGCUUUGGAGGCCCAGAUCCACCCUCUUACCCUGUCCCAUGUGCUCAACGAUGCCUUUGUGGAGGACACUUGCUUUUCAUGGUCUGGAUUUGGGGUAUGUGGGGUAACAUAGGAGUGUGCAAUGAUCAGAACUGCAAUCCUGCACAGCACUUCCUAAACUGCAUUCUGGGUGGUACUAAUAGGCAGCCUUUGCAAAGAGGAUGCUGUUGCAUGUGUUCUACCUCUCCCUCUAAAACAUCUGCUGAAGACGUGUCCUCCUCCCUGCCUCCAUGGGCACUUUUUGAACCCUCACUUCAUGUUGCCACCUGGCUCUUCAGCUUCCUGCCUGGCUGUUGUUGCAAUGGCCAGAGGCUUCCCAAACAGACAGGCAGCAUUGUUGCACUUCUUGGGCACCUAUAAGCAUCCCCACCGCCCAAUGAAUAAAGUCCCGGCCCCUUAGCAGCCAAAGCUGCUGGAAGCUGGCCCACACCACCUGCCACGUGUGCUCACCCUUUUCCUCACUUUUGCUCCUGCCUGAGCUCUAGCCCCACCAGCUUUCCUGCUGUUCCCUUCCAAGUAGCCCAGCCACCUCUGCACUUUUGCCUAGGCCAUUCCCACUCCUUGGAAAAUCCUUUUCCUUGUUGAACAAGUCUUUCUUAUCUUUAAGGCCCAGCUAAGAGACCACCUUCCUGGGAAUGCUGGCCAUUCCUGACCACUCUGGCUGGGAACCACAGUGCUUUCUGUGGCAUGCCUAAAGCCGGUCUUAGGAGAGCAGAAAUGGGGUCUAAUCCAUCUCAAGAGCCCCCAAGCAUGGAGUUCCAUGCCACGAAGAAAAUGCUUGUUCAACGCUGGUGCAAUCAGAUAAAAACACACCAGAAAUUGAUUCCAAAGGACACAGGGCAGUGGGGCAGGAUCUACAUAGAAUCUACUGAGAAAGGCUGCCAUACUUACUGGAGUGAUGGCCCCACAGACACCAAUGGGCUCAUGCCUGGUGAAGCACACGACGUUGUCAUCUGGAAGAGGGUUACAUGGUGGGGAAGGACACACUCACUUAGUCCAGGUUAGGAACUUCAAGUAGUAAAAAGACAAGAAAGAAACCAACAAGGGUGCCAGAUUCAAGUCUUGUCUAUUAUACAGAGAAGUGAUUUGACCUCAACUUUAAAAGUGAAGUUCUUAGAAGAAGAAUUGGCAGUACCAUUUGGAGAGGGAGUGGGGUUGGGAAUGGUGCCUUAGGGAAACAGUCAGGGGGGGCUCUGGAUUAAUGAAAAGAUAUAGCCCCAAAGGGAUCCCAAAUGAAGCUAUAAUCCACCUUGCUCACCUGUGGGGAUGGUCUUGCCCUGGAUUUUGUCUGCCCACCCUGCAAAGUAUCUGAGGGUUCUAAUACAGCCCUCCAGGUCGAUGAAAAAAGCAUGAAGAAAUGGCUUCCCUGUAUCCAUCGUCUCCAGGGCCUGCAAUAACAAGAUGAUGUCUGUUUCGGACAUAGCUUGCUUUUCUUUUGCACUGUCAGGUUGUUAAAGAUGGAAGUUGGGGAGAGAACACAGUCCUAGGACAUUGCUCUGUAGACCUCACAGUCAGAUGCACCUCUUCAGAAAGCAUGACACCAAAUGUAAAGCGAGGCCUGUCUCUGAGUGUGAGGAUUGCUUUUAUUUCAAAACACCUAAAGUGGGCUGCAGGGUGGUGGGCUAAAACAUAGACAUGCACCCUCUUUGAAGGGCCCCUUGGAGGCCAGGCGGAUUUAAAGCUGUGCUGGGAAGGAACGCACACUGGCAUCUGAUCUUCCAUCUGUAGCACAGUGGCCUCUGCUGUGUGGCCAGUCGUGUGUGCUUGUGUGUUCCCAGGAAGCUCUCUGAAGGUUAGCUGGCUCUGGGGUGGCUGCAGUGGGAGCUGCCCUCCUCGAACAAAAGAGAAAGAGAAGAUGUAGGCUCUUCCUUCUCGGCCAGGCUGGCCAGUGUGGCUGUGGAAAGUGACUGAGCCGAGAAGGGUCGCGCCCCCAGCACAAAGAUGCAAUCCUUCCCUCCUGCACUGCAGAGCCCGGCCGGCCGGAUGCAGAGUCGGAAGGGAGCAGACUGCCCUGCUGGUGAGGGAGGUGAUUACCCAGGGCGAGUGUGCAGCCACUCAAUGGCAGGGAUUCUUUUCUAUUUCCAGCCGGGGUGGAAGAGAACCCCUUUGUCCCUCAGACAAGUGGCCCCAGUUGAGCCCAGCGCUGAAACCGCCAGUCAUCCGCCUCUGCAGGAAGUGGCCGCCCUGACACAUAGCCCAGGGCUGGAUUCUUGUGGAAGAGUCAGUGGAGUGAGAUGGUGAUUGAAAAAGGAAGAAGGCCCCUCCUCAGAUCCAGGGCUUUAACCCCAGCGCACUCCCCGAUGUCUCACCCUUUGAGCUCCAUGACUGCAUUCCCACUUCAAGGUGCAGGCACGGACGCUAACGGCCCAGUGACUUGGCCAAGGCCACCCAGUAAUGCAGCAGCUGAAUUGGGGGCAUCUACUUCUGGCCAGCACAGCGACUGGCCUUUACAGGCUGCUCCUGGACAGGUGUGUCUGGAAAGACUGCAGGGCAGCCACUCCGGAUGCUCGGGCUACCCCAGCUCCCCUUUGCUUCAGGAAUGAGCCAAGCCCCCUUUAAAUAGGAGGCAACUACAUCUGCUGAACCCUAGUUAAGUAAGUGGGCCUUGGGUAAGUCCCUGAAUCACUCCUUGCCUCAGUUUCCUCAUCUGUAAAAUAAGAAUAAUAACGGUUCCUACCUCACAGGGCCAGCGUUAGAGUGAAAGGAGUCAGUGUCCACAGAGCAGCAACCACAGUGCCCGCCCAUGGUGAGUGCUGGAUUGGUGUUCACAUGAGAACACUGAUGAUUACACUGACUAUCAUCAACUUCCCUUUAGGCACCAGAGAAGGGCUUGGCGAUCCUCACCUGGGGACCCAGACAGCGCACUGGGUUGCUAAAGACCACAGGACUGGUCUAGCUUGGGGUGUGUGUUCUGCCCCCAGCAGCUGCCACUCAGGGACUGAGUCAGGCCAGUGUGACAUCAAGUAUACUCUAGUGUUGGUUCCUAUAGAUUUUCACUCAAGCGUGAACUUUCAUUUUUCCAGGGGAAGCCUAGCAAUUGCAAAUAGUGCAAAAAGGCCUCUAAGACUGACCUAUUCCAGACAGUAUCUGCAUAUCUGUCAGUGGAAUUGCAAGUUUAUUCUUUGCUCUUUUCUGGGAUGGAACAAGAGAGAGGACUUCAACAUCCAGCACUGAGGGUAAGCGCGAGACAUGGAGCCAAGAUUCUGCCUCCAGUCCUGGAUUACCACCUCUGGCUGGGUGACCUAGGACAGGUUACUUAACCUCUCUGGGCCUCAGUUUCUCAUCUCUGAAAUGAGAUAAUAAAUCCUACAGGUCAACAAGCCAGGUACAUGGCGAACAUUCAGCCAGCAUUGCUAUUUGUUUUUAUUGUCAACUUCAGCAAGUUUGCUUACUGGAGUGACAACAUGAAUUUACCAGGUUAGUUUUAUGGAAUUUCUCUGAGCAAAACCCAGGUCAUGAUAGGUUUAGACGGGAAAUUAUUAAAAAAAAUUAUGCAGGUGAGUGAGUCCAAGUGCUCGCUACAGAUUGAAACAGUCAUCCUUUAAACAACUUGUUACUGUGGCUCAAUCAUGAGUAAACCAUAGCCACUCCUAAGUUUAUUUCCUUUAACAUUUUAAGAGGAAAAUGUGCCUCCUGAGAAAUUAACACAUCAGAACCCUCAGAUACUAAAGAAUGACGGGAAGUGCCAGGAAAACAGCACGGCAGGGCUUACAACGAGAGGACCCAGAAAUGGCACUUGGGGUGAAAAGGAGAGUGGAUAGGGAGGGCUUCCGUUUGGGAGCUCCCAAAAUGAGCGCCCAAAGAGCAGAGUUGGGGCCUGGGUGCCCCAGCAAAGGAAAGCCAUCCAGGGGCCGCUGGAUCCCCCACAUCUGUUUCCAGACACUGAGCACAGAAAUAAACACCCAGCUCUGUCAAACCACUGAGCCGGCAAGAGAACACGCUCCAUGAACAUGCACGGAAACCAUAUCGAGGUGGAGAGCAAGGGGCGCUCUCCUGUGAUGUGGUUGGAGUUUUAAAAACCGUGUUUGCCAGUAAUUCUCUUGUCCCUUUCAUGUUGUGGCAAAGAGCUGGAUCUUAUUUCUCGUGGGCUGCGAGGUGCCAGUGGCAGAAGUGAUUUGCUGGGUUUGCAUUCUGAGAUCCUCCAAAGCUGUCUGCUAUCAAAACACAGUCGUGCCAGGACAAUGGGGCAGCCUGAAGAUGAAGGUGGCUUUGUAGCCUCUGCUCCUAAGAUGAUACUGACACUUAAGGACAGGGUUCAGGGCGGGGGGUGCCCAGGGCACAUCCUCUCUAGCCUGCUAUUAGUCCACACGGACAUUGCCGACCGAUGAGCUCAUGCCGGGUGAAAACAGAAAUGUUUUUGAAAAAGCCAGUUUGGCAGCUUGAGGGUUGACGCUGGCUUACGUUGCAGGAAGAAACCAGAGGCUCCUCAGAGAGAAGCGCUUACCCUGGGAGGGAGCUACUCUCACCCGGGGAACAUGUGGACUGGCCGGGCUGACUGGGAAGGAAGGAAGGGGAGCUCGAGUUUCUGUGUGGAUGCACCCUUAGGGAAAUGCACCCAAGAGUACGGCCUGAGAGUUCCUCCACCCUGAGAAACACAUUCAGGGGCAACAGCAAUUUCCGUGUCCUGGCUGACACCCUCCUUUAAACAGUGGCUACCCUACUGCUUGUUCCCGACAUCAGAAAAACCAUUUUUCCAAAUCAAAGGCCAGAAAGGAGAUCUCCUCCCCUACAACCGGGCCUCAAGGUUUGGAACAACUUUUAAAAACAAGAGGCUGAGAUGGGCAAGGACAGGAUGCAAAGGACCUCAUGGCCCAACGUGGCCCUGAGAUGUCCUCUGAUCACUCCCUCAUGACCAGAGGAGGGUCUGAGGAUCCUGCUAAAAAAUGGACUUACAACUGAUGAAUGCCUUGGCAGCUCAGCCUCAUGGGGUAUGCUCCAUCAAUAUCCCCACCUAGGGUAUCUAGAAAUUACUGGCCAGCAGUGCAUGUAGGUGAGGUUAGAAAAUGGGUCUUCACAUGACCUCAUUAUGAUAACUGCUAUUAUUAAUGAUAGCUGUCAUCUAUUUAGUGCUUACUGCCUGCCAGGGACUCUGCCUAGAAUCUUAAAUAGAUCAUUCUUACACCACUGAGUUAUCAUUAUCGGUGACAUUUUACAUGAAGAAAUAAAUCUCAGAGAGGUUUCACAACUUGUCCAAAGUCACACAGCUAGUAAGUGGCAGAGUGGGGAUUUGAACCCAGGUCUUUCCUAUUCUGAGGUUUCCUAUAACCAGGCUAUCCUGCCCUCACCACCGCUCCACAUAUGCUCGCUACUAGCCAGUUCAGGGGUGACUGAGGAAUGAUUUUAGGUCACAUGGGAACAAUUUUUUCUAUGUUAAGUGGUGGCAUUUAUUUUGGUAAGUAUUAGAAAAAUAAAAUUAGCACAUCAAACCUGUGAUUUCAUGAAUAUUGUUUCUUAGGAUGAGAUUAAACUUAAGUUUAAAAGGGAGUUAAGGCUGGGUGCAGUGGCUCACAUCUGUAAUCCCAGCACUUUGGGAGGCCAAGGCCGGUAGAUCACCUGAGGCCAGGAGUUCGAGACCAGGAGUUCAAGACCUGGCCAACAUGAUGAAACCCUGUCUCUGUUACAAAUAUAAAAAUUAGCCGGGCAUGGUGGCAGGCACCUGUAGUCCCAGCUACUCAGGAGGCUGAGGCAAGAGAAUCAUUUUAACCUGGGAGGCAGAGGCUGCAGUGAGCCGAGAUCGCGCCACUGCACUCCAGCCUGGGUGACAGAGGGAGACUCUGUCUCAAAAAAAUAAAUAAAAUAAAAUAAAUAAAAGGAAGUUUAUACAAAAAAGAAAAAAGUUAAGUACAUAAACACACAGGUGGUACCAGGAUAUGGCCCAGCUCAUGGUCACCAAUCUGUGAGUGCCCCAAGUCUGAGACCACUGAUGUAGCUCAACUGCCUAUAGACAACAACUUGGUCAAGAAGCUGAGCUGCAGAGGACAAAAGUCUGACUUCAAAAUGAAAGGGAUUCAGUCUAGAGGCAUUAACACCUGCAAGUAUUGCCAGAGAGCCGUGUCUCAGAGGAUGGAACAGACCCACGACCACACAAAACCAGGACCGUGAUCUUUUUUCCCAUACCCCAUGGUGGACAGGACCCUCAGUGAGGCUGGCUCAUCCCCCACCGGCCCCCAAGUGCAUGUACUCACGGCCAAGGUGGCGCGGUCCCUCUCCACCAGGUCAGCCAGCUGGUGCAGCAGCCGCCCACGACUCAGGGCAUCCAGCCGGCGCCAUGGCGAGCCCCUCUGGAAGGCAACCUGUGCAGCCUCCACAGCCUUGUCCACGUCGGGCUGAGCGACCAGAACAACAGAGAGAGACUGUCAUCUUUUGACGUGACUGCAGUUUGGGUGUCAUCUUUUGACGUGACUGAAGUUU